GACGAAGGAUGCAAGCGUUAUCCGGAUUCAUUGGGUUUAAAGGGAGCGUAGGCGGCCUUGUAAGUCAGUGGUGAAAUCUUCCCGCUUAACGGGAAAACUGCCAUUGAUACUGCUUGGCUUGAGUACAGAUGCUGUGGGCGGAAUAUGACAUGUAGUGGUGAAAUACAUAGAGAUGUCAUAGAACACCGAUUGCGAAGGCAGCUCACAAAACUGUAACUGACGCUGAGGCUCGAAAGUGUGGGAUCAAACAGG
rnacentral:rRNA from 1 species